ACACUCAGAUCCUGUGUGUUUGAGUUCAGGCAUUUAGAUUCCAAAGUGCCGAGGUUUUCAAUGUGUAGGUUCCAGUGUUCCAGGGGUGUGAGUUUUGAAGAUGUGACUGCUCCUGGAUGGGAAGGUUCUACAGCUGGCAGGCUCAGGAACUGCUUGUCCUCGUAGUCAAAGCGGCUUCCAAACACCACGGAGCUGAUGACGUUGGAGACGGUGCGGCUCAGGAAGAAGAUUUCUCUACUUGUGAACUGAAUUUAGAAACCACUUCAUUGGUUCCUGAGGAUUCAAAAUAAUCAUCUGCAUCACAACUUCCCAUCCAGCUCUUCCUGCUAACGUGCGCCCUGCAGGCAGCAGGUGAUGGCUCGGGUAUUGUGUCCUUGCCACCUGGAGGGGAGACCCCGAUUGAGUUCUGGGACCUGACUUCAGCCUCUCCCAGCCCUGGCUACCGUGGGCAUUUAGGGAGUAAACCA